rnacentral:rRNA from 1 species
GAUGAACGCUGGCGGCGUGCCUAAUACAUGCAAGUCGAGCGAACGGACGAGAAGCUUGCUUCUCUGAUGUUAGCGGCGGACGGGUGAGUAACACGUGUAUAACCUACCUAUAAGACUGGGAUAACUUCGGGAAACCGGAGCUAAUACCGGAUAAUAUUUUGAACCGCAUGGUUCAAAAGUGAAAGACGGUCUUGCUGUCACUUAUAGAUGGAUCCGCGCUGCAUUAGCUAGUUGGUAAGGUAACGGCUUACCAAGGCAACGAUGCAUAGACGACCUGAGAGGGUGAUCGGCCACACUGGAACUGAGACACGGUCCAGACUCCUAAGGGAGGCCGCAGUAGGGAAUGUUACGCAAUGGGCGAAAGCAUGACGGAGCGACGCCGCGUGAGUGAUGAAGGUCUUCGGAUCGUAAAACUCUGUUAUUAGGGAAGAACAUAUGUGUAAGUAACUGUGCACAUCUUGACGGUACCUAAUCAGAAAGCCACGGCUAACUACGUG